rnacentral:rRNA from 1 species
GUGGGGAAUUUUGGACAAUGGGCGCAAGCCUGAUCCAGCCAUUCCGCGUGCAGGAUGAAGGCCUUCGGGUUGUAAACUGCUUUUGUACGGAACGAAAAGCCUCUGGUUAAUACCCGGGGUUCAUGACGGUACCGUAAGAAUAAGCACCGGCUAACUACGUGCCAGCAGCCGCGGUAAUACGUAGGGUGCGAGCGUUAAUCGGAAUUACUGGGCGUAAAGCGUGCGCAGGCGGUGAUGUAAGACAGUUGUGAAAUCCCCGGGCUCAACCUGGGAACUGCAUCUGUGACUGCAUUGCUGGAGUGCGGCAGAGGGGGAUGGAAUUCCGCGUGUAGCAGUGAAAUGCGUCGAUAUGCGGAGGAACACCGAUGGCGAAGGCAAUCCCCUGGGCCUGCACUGACGCUCAUGCACGAAAGCGUGGGGAGCAAACAGGAUUAGAUACCCUUGUAGUCC